GUGGUGAAAAAAAUGAUGUGCGCAUAGUACUUCGGCCUCUCAAAGAUGUAGGAAACCGCAAAGAAAACCGCAUAGGCCCUUGCUAAAGCAGAGCGUAUCAAUGGUUCAUGGUUCAUUUUCUGGAUGAGUGUGCUUACAAAUAGUCUCCACUCCACUGUGUUGAUCGUAGGGAGAGCUGAUCUGAUCCGAUCCAAUCACUUUCAAUAGAAUUCAGCACUAAUUAGCUAGCUCCCUACCAACCAAUAGUAUUUAAAUAAAAUAGUUGCAGACCACAAUACAUUUAGUGAGUGCAAGUUAAUAAUGUCGAGCUUGGCCAGGACACAGGCCUGGACGGCUAUGCUGGUUGUCAUAGUACCACUUAAUAAACAAGUUAAAAUCACAAAUAUUCAAAACAAAGAUCGAUAUUAAUUAUUUCUCUCUUUAUUUGAGAAAAGUUCACAUUUGUGUCAAAUUUCACUAUGACCCUGAAAUUCUCUUGUGCUAUCGUAUACUGAAUGCAAGCAAAACAACAGAGCAAAAUCACACUCUUUCUGAUUGAACCAAUCUAUGAACUGUCUGAAACAAUGGAUAUCCGCGGCCCCAAAUGAGCCCCCAAAAAAAUUGCCGCGCGCUCUGCGCACAAACAAGCCACUUCCCUUGGGGCUAAGCCCCCCCUUUCUUUUAAUCCUAGAAACGCCCCUGGUGAGUCUCUACAGUGUAAUAGCCGAAUUUAACAUGAACUUACAAGAGAUAAUUAUGGUGUAACAGAAUAACAGCACCUUCGUCAUAACAUUUUUUAAUCUACUUCAAAACAAGGUACACAUACAUCACAAACUCUAAUUCAAUCUAAAUUAAGAAAGGACAAGACUUCACAGUGUCCAGAGAAUGAGGUUUUAUUUUGACUAGGCUAGGUUGAAGUGAGAUAUGAACUGAUAAAUUGCUCAGGGGCUCAAGAGUUUGAGGAUGAAGUUGAUCUGACAGGUGUUACUCAGUUUAGUACAAUAGCCAUCUCUUCUUCCAGUGACAGGUGUUACUCAGUUUAGUACAUCUCCUCCAAUAGUGACAGGUGUUACUCAGUUUAGUACAAUAGCCAUCUCCUCCUCUAGUGACAGGUGUUACUCAGUUUGGUGCAAUAGCCAUCUCCUCCUCUAGUGACAGGUGUUACUCAGUUCAAAUAAACGCAUAAACAAACAAUAAACAGUUUGGUGCAAUAGCCAUCUCCUCCUCCAGUGACAGAUGUUACUCAGUUCAGAUAAACGCAUAAACAAACAAUAAACAGUUUAGUACAAUAGCCAUCUCCUCCUCCAGUGACAGGUGUUAUUCAGUUUAGUACAAUAGCCAUCUCCUCCAAUAGUGACAGGUGUUACUCAGUUUAGUACAUCUCCUCCUCCAGUGACAGGUGUU